rnacentral:lncRNA from 1 species
UCUGAUGCAUCUUUUGGGUGAUGAUGUGAUUAUCUAUAAUAAUUUUCAGCAGCUCUGAAAGGUAUUUAGUUUGACAAUUAGUAUUCUUUAUAUCAUUCAAGGUAAAAUUAGUCUCACAAGUAUAAGCUGCAUGUUAGAUAUCUCAAAUAGAUGCAUCUUUCUUACAACAAACUUGGUACUCAUGAAAUCUGAAUAAAAAUGCUCUCUGCAUAUUGACUUUGUUCUUUUCAAAAGACAUCCAAAAAGGUAGCUCAGAAUGACAGAGGGUUGAGCAUAUGUCGUCUGAUGCAUCUUGCAGGUGAUGAUGUGAUUAUCCAUUGUCAAUCAAGACGUGAUAUUUGCACAAUUGUACGGCAUGAUUGUAGAAACAAUAUGAAAAUAGUUGUAUUUUCCCUCUAUAGCUAGCCUAAAUUAUAGAGAAUUGCUGAAAAUCAGCAUUGUAAUAGGAAAUGAUUACC